rnacentral:rRNA from 1 species
GGGUUGUGAGGUUAAGCGACUAAGCGUACACGGUGGAUGCCCUGGCAGUCAGAGGCGAUGAAGGGCGUGCUAAUCUGCGAUAAGCGCCGGUAAGGUGAUAUGAACCGUUAUAACCGGCGAUACCCGAAUGGGGAAACCCAGUGUGACUCGUCACACUAUCAUUAACUGAAUCCAUAGGUUAAUGAGGCGAACCGGGGGAACUGAAACAUCUAAGUACCCCGAGGAAAAGAAAUCAACCGAGAUUCCCCCAGUAGCGGCGAGCGAACGGGGAGGAGCCCAGAGCCUGAAUCAGCAUGUGUGUUAGUGGAAGCGUCUGGAAAGGCGCGCGAUACAGGGUGACAGCCCCGUACACAAAAGCGCAUGUGCUGUGAGCUCGAUGAGUAGGGCGGGACACGUGGUAUCCUGUCUGAAUAUGGGGGGACCAUCCUCCAAGGCUAAAUACUCCUGACUGACCGAUAGUGAACCAGUACCGUGAGGGAAAGGCGAAAAGAACCCCGGCGAGGGGAGUGAAAAAGAACCUGAAACCGUGUACGUACAAGCAGUGGGAGCNNGUGACUGCGUACCUUUUGUAUAAUGGGUCAGCGACUUAUAUUCUGUAGCAAGGUUAACCGAAUAGGGGAGCCGGAGGGAAACCGAGUCUUAAUUGGGCGUUAAGUUGCAGGGUAUAGACCCGAAACCCGGUGAUCUAGCCAUGGGCAGGUUGAAGGUUGGGUAACACUAACUGGAGGACCGAACCGACUAAUGUUGAAAAAUUAGCGGAUGACCUGUGGCUGGGGGUGAAAGGCCAAUCAAACCGGGAGAUAGCUGGUUCUCCCCGAAAGCUAUUUAGGUAGCGCCUCGUGAAUUCAUCUCCGGGGGUAGAGCACUGUUUCGGCUAGGGGGCCAUCCCGGCUUACCAACCCGAUGCAAACUGCGAAUACCGGAGAAUGUUAUCACGGGAGACACACGGCGGGUGCUAACGUCCGUCGUGAAGAGGGAAACAACCCAGACCGCCAGCUAAGGUCCCAAAGUCAUGGUUAAGUGGGAAACGAUGUGGGAAGGCCCAGACAGCCAGGAUGUUGGCUUAGAAGCAGCCAUCAUUUAAAGAAAGCGUAAUAGCUCACUGGUCGAGUCGGCCUGCGCGGAAGAUGUAACGGGGCUAAACCAUGCACCGAAGCUGCGGCAGCGANNGUUGGGUAGGGGAGCGUUCUGUAAGCCUGCGAAGGUGGUCGUGAGGGAUGCUGGAGGUAUCAGAAGUGCGAAUGCUGACAUAAGUAACGAUAAAGCGGGUGAAAAGCCCGCUCGCCGGAAGACCAAGGGUUCCUGUCCAACGUUAAUCGGGGCAGGGUGAGUCGACCCCUAAGGCGAGGCCGAAAGGCGUAGUCGAUGGGAAACGGGUUAAUAUUCCCGUACUUGGUGUUACUGCGAAGGGGGGACGGAGAAGGCUAUGUUGGCCGGGCGACGGUUGUCCCGGUUUAAGCGUGUAGGUGUGUGUUCCAGGUAAAUCCGGUUCACUUUAACACUGAGGCGUGANNNNNNNNNNNNNNNNNNNNNNNNNNNNNNNNNNNGGAGCUGAAGUCAGUCGAAGAUACCAGCUGGCUGCAACUGUUUAUUAAAAACACAGCACUGUGCAAACACGAAAGUGGACGUAUACGGUGUGACGCCUGCCCGGUGCCGGAAGGUUAAUUGAUGGGGUCAGCGCAAGCGAAGCUCCUGAUCGAAGCCCCGGUAAACGGCGGCCGUAACUAUAACGGUCCUAAGGUAGCGAAAUUCCUUGUCGGGUAAGUUCCGACCUGCACGAAUGGCGUAAUGAUGGCCAGGCUGUCUCCACCCGAGACUCAGUGAAAUUGAACUCGCUGUGAAGAUGCAGUGUACCCGCGGCAAGACGGAAAGACCCCGUGAACCUUUACUAUAGCUUGACACUGAACAUUGAGCCUUGAUGUGUAGGAUAGGUGGGAGGCUUUGAAGCGUGGACGCCAGUCUGCGUGGAGCCGACCUUGAAAUACCACCCUUUAAUGUUUGAUGUUCUAACGUGGACCCGUAAUCCGGGUUGCGGACAGUGUCUGGUGGGUAGUUUGACUGGGGCGGUCUCCUCCUAAAGAGUAACGGAGGAGCACGAAGGUUGGCUAAUCCUGGUCGGACAUCAGGAGGUUAGUGCAAUGGCAUAAGCCAGCUUGACUGCGAGCGUGACGGCGCGAGCAGGUGCGAAAGCAGGUCAUAGUGAUCCGGUGGUUCUGAAUGGAAGGGCCAUCGCUCAACGGAUAAAAGGUACUCCGGGGAUAACAGGCUGAUACCGCCCAAGAGUUCAUAUCGACGGCGGUGUUUGGCACCUCGAUGUCGGCUCAUCACAUCCUGGGGCUGAAGUAGGUCCCAAGGGUAUGGCUGUUCGCCAUUUAAAGUGGUACGCGAGCUGGGUUUAGAACGUCGUGAGACAGUUCGGUCCCUAUCUGCCGUGGGCGCUGGAGAACUGAGGGGGGCUGCUCCUAGUACGAGAGGACCGGAGUGGACGCAUCACUGGUGUUCGGGUUGUCAUGCCAAUGGCACUGCCCGGUAGCUAAAUGCGGAAGAGAUAAGUGCUGAAAGCAUCUAAGCACGAAACUUGCCCCGAGAUGAGUUCUCCCUGAGACUU